rnacentral:rRNA from 1 species
UACAGAGGUCCCAAGCGUUGCUCGGAAUCACUGGGCGUAAAGCGCACGUAGGCGGCUUUUUAAGUCAGGGGUGAAAUCCUGGAGCUCAACUCCAGAACUGCCUUUGAUACUGAGAAGCUCGAGUCCGGAAGAGGUGAGUGGAACUCCGAGUGUAGAGGUGAAAUUCGUAGAUAUUCGGAAGAACACCAGUGGCGAAGGCGGCUCACUGGUCCGGUACUGACGCUGAGGUGCGAAAGCGUGGGGAGCAAACAGG